CCGUCACCCAGACAUCAUUCGUUGUUCAGAGGCUCUUUAGUUAUUACUGCUCAGUGAGGUCGAGUUUUCUUCGCCAUGGCUUCGUACUUCACGCUGCUGCUGUGCAUUUCUUUGGCGGUUGUCACCGUUUCUGGACUGGACUGUCUCCCUUGUGAAUUAGUAAAGUGCUCAGAUUCUGUGCCAAUUGGGUGCCAUUAUGGGGCAGUACGUAGCCCUUGUAGAUGUUGCUUGGAAUGUGGUAAGGGCGAGGGUGAAGAGUGCGGUGGCC